rnacentral:rRNA from 1 species
UACGGAGGGUGCGAGCGUUAAUCGGAAUUACUGGGCGUAAAGCGUGCGUAGGUGGUUCGACGAGUCAGAUGUGAAAGCCCUGGGCUUAACCUGGGAAUGGCAUUUGAUACUAUCGAGCUCGAGUUUGGUAGAGGGAAGUGGAAUUCCAGGUGUAGCGGUGAAAUGCGUAGAUAUCUGGAGGAACAUCAGUGGCGAAGGCGGCUUCCUGGACCAAAACUGACACUGAGGCACGAAAGCGUGGGUAGCAAACAGG